rnacentral:rRNA from 1 species
UGCGUAGGCGGAUUAAUAAGUCAGUGGUGAAAACCUGCAGCUUAACUGUAGAACUGCCAUUGAUACUGUUAGUCUUGAGUACGGUCAAGGUAGGCGGAAUGUGUAAUGUAGCGGUGAAGUGCUUAGAUAUUACACAGAACACCGAUUGCGAAGGCAGCUUACUGGACCAUUACUGACGCUGAGGCACGAAAGCGUGGGGAGCGAACAGGAUUAGAUACCCUGGUAGUCC